rnacentral:rRNA from 1 species
UAGUCCACGCCGUAAACGAUGUGUGCUAGUUGUCGGGCUCUAAGAGUUCGGUGACGCCGCUAACGCAUUAAGCACACCGCCUGGGGAGUACGGCCGCAAGGUUAAAACUCAAAGGAAUUGACGGGACCCGCACGAGCGGUGGAGCAUGUUCUUUAAUUCGAAGCAACGCGAAGAACCUUACCUACACUUGACAUACUCGUCGGGAAUUUCAGAGAUGAUUUUCUUCGGUUCGGCCGGACGAUGUACAGGUGUUGCACGGCUGUCGUCAGCUCGUGUCGUGAGAUGUUUGGUUAAGUCCAGCAACGAGCGCAACCCCUAUCGUAUGUUACCAGCAUUUAGUUGGGGACUCAUGCGAGACUGCCGGUGUUAAGCCGGGAGGAAGGUGGGGACGACGUCAAGUCAUCAUGGCCUUACGUGUAGGGGCUACAAACGUGCUACAAUGGGCUACUACAGUGGGGCAGCGAGGUCGCGAGGGCCAAGCUAAUCCCCAAAAGUAGUCUCAGUUCGGGAUAGGGACUCU